rnacentral:rRNA from 1 species
UACGUAGGGGGCAAGCGUUGUCCGGAAUCAUUGGGCGUAAAGCGCGUGUAGGCGGCCCGGUAAGUCCGCUGUGAAAGUCCAGGGCUCAACUUCGAGCUGUCGGUGGAAACUUUCUGGCUAGAGUCCGGAAGAGGAGAAUGGAAUUCCUGGUGUAGCGGUGAAAUGCGCAGAUAUCAGGAAGAACACCCGUGGCGAAGGCGGUUCUCUGGGACGGUACUGACGCUGAGACGCGAAAGCGUGGGGAGCGAACAGG